rnacentral:rRNA from 1 species
UUUUAUAAGUGGUGAAGUGGGGACGAAGAAGGCUAGGUGAGCCAGGCGUUGGUUGUCCUGGUACUUGCAUGUAGGGGGGAAGACUUGGCAAAUCCGGUUUUCCAUAACUCUGAGGUGCGAAGUGGUUCUGACCUUUUGGUACAGAGAAGUCAUUGAUGCCCGGCUUCCAGGAAAAGCUGCUAGCCAUAACUUAUAGAGAACCGUACCGCAAACCGACACAGGUGGACAGGUAGAGAAUACUAAGGCGCUUGAGAGAACUCGGGUGAAGGAACUAGGCAAAAUGGUACCGUAACUUCGGGAGAAGGUACGCCCUUUUGGGUGAGGGCAUUUACUGUCUGAGCUUAAGAGGGCCGCAGAGACCAGGUGGCUGCGACUGUUUAUUAAAAACACAGCACUCUGCAAAUUCGUAAGAAGACGUAUAGGGUGUGACGCCUGCCCGGUGCCGGAAGGUUAAUUGAUGGGGUUAUCUUCGGAGAAGCUCUUGAUCGAAGCCCCGGUAAACGGCGGCCGUAACUAUAACGGUCCUAAGGUAGCGAAAUUCCUUGUCGGGUAAGUUCCGACCUGCACGAAUGGCGUAACGAUGGCCACACUGUCUCCACCCGAGACUCAGUGAAAUUGAAAUCGCUGUGAAGAUGCAGUGUACCCGCGGCUAGACGGAAAGACCCCGUGAACCUUUACUAUAGUUUUGCACUGGACUUUGAUGAUGACUGUGUAGGAUAGGUGGGAGGCUGUGAAGUGAGGACGCUAGUUCUCAUGGAGCCGCCCUUGAAAUACCACCCUGUUGUUAUUGAGGUUCUAACUUGGUCCAGUAAUCCUGGAUGAGGACAGUGUAUGAUGGGUAGUUUGACUGGGGCGGUCUCCUCCCAAAGAGUAACGGAGGAGCACAAAGGUACCCUCGGUACGGUCGGACAUCGUACCAAGAGUGUAAAGGCAAAAGGGUGCUUGACUGCGAGAGUGACGGCUCGAGCAGGAACGAAAGUUGGUCUUAGUGAUCCGGUGGUUCUGAAUGGAAGGGCCAUCGCUCAACGGAUAAAAGGUACUCCGGGGAUAACAGGCUGAUACCGCCCAAGAGUUCAUAUCGACGGCGGUGUUUGGCACCUCGAUGUCGGCUCAUCACAUCCUGGGGCUGAAGCAGGUCCCAAGGGUAUGGCUGUUCGCCAUUUAAAGUGGUACGCGAGCUGGGUUUAGAACGUCGUGAGACAGUUCGGUCCCUAUCUGCCGUGGGCGUAGGAAAAUUGAGAGGAGCUGCUCCUAGUACGAGAGGACCGGAGUGGACGAACCUCUGGUGCACCGGUUGUCACGCCAGUGGCAUGGCCGGGUAGCUAAGUUCGGACGGGAUAACCGCUGAAAGCAUCUAAGCGGGAAGCCUCCCUCAAGAUGAGUUUUCCCAUGAAGCCCGUUGAAGACUACGACGUUGAUAGGCAAGGUGUGGAAGCGCAGUAAUGCGUGAAGCUAACUUGUACUAAUUGGCUGAUUGUCUUGACCAUAUAAUCUGAG